rnacentral:rRNA from 1 species
GAUGAACGCUGGCGGCGUGCCUAAUACAUGCAAGUCGAGCGAACGGACGAGAAGCUUGCUUCUCUGAUGUUAGCGGCGGACGGGUGAGUAACACGUGGAUAACCUACCUAUAAGACUGGGAUAACUUCGGGAAACCGGAGCUAAUACCGGAUAAUAUUUUGAACCGCAUGGGUCAAAAGUGAAAGACGGUCUUGCUGUCACUUAUAGAUGGAUCCGCGCUGCAUUAGCUAGUUGGUAAGGUAACGGCUUACCAAGGCAACGAUGCAUAGCCGACCUGAGAGGGUGAUCGGCCACACUGGAACUGAGACACGGUCCAGACUCCUACGGGAGGCAGCAGUAGGGAAUCUUCCGCAAUGGGCGAAAGCCUGACGGAGCAACGCCGCGUGAGUGAUGAAGGUCUUCGGAUCGUAAAACUCUGUUAUUAGGGAAGAACAUAUGUGUAAGUAACUGUGCACAUCUUGACGGUACCUAAUCAGAAAGCCACGGCUAACUACGUG